GUAGGUGGCAAGCGUUGUCCGGAAUUAUUGGGCGUAAAGCGCGCGCAGGCGGUCCUUUAAGUCUGAUGUGAAAGCCCACGGCUCAACCGUGGAGGGUCAUUGGAAACUGGGGGACUUGAGUACAGAAGGGGAAAGCGGAAUUCCAAGUGUAGCGGUGAAAUGCGUAGAGAUUUGGAGGAACACCAGUGGCGAAGGCGGCUUUCUGGUCUGUAACUGACGCUGAGGCGCGAAAGCGUGGGGAGCAAACAGGAUUAGAUACCCUGGUAGUCCACGCCGUAAACGAUGAGUGCUAAGUGUUAGGGGGUUUCCGCCCCUUAGUGCUGCAGCUAACGCAUUAAGCACUCCGCCUGGGGAGUACGGCCGCAAGGCUG
rnacentral:rRNA from 1 species